AAUAGAUACCCGGGUAGUCCACGCCGUAAACGUUGGAUACUAGGUGUGGCGUCCCGAUCAACGGAUGCCGUGCCGAAGCUAACGCAUUAAGUAUCCCGCCUGGGGAGUACGGCCGCAAGGCUAAAACUCAAAGGAAUUGACGGGUCCCCGCACAAGCGGCGGAGCAUGCGGCUUAAUUCGAUGCAACCCGAAGAACCUUACCUGGGUUUGAAAUCAUGGGAAAAGCUGUAGAAAUACAGUGUCCGUAAGGGCCCAUGACAGGUGGUGCAUGGCUGUCGUCAGCUCGUGUCGUGAGAUGUUGGGUUAAGUCCCACAACGAGCGCAACCCUUGUCCUAUGUUGCCAGCGGUUCGGCCGGGGACUCAUAGGAGACUGCCGGGGAUAACUCGGAGGAAGGUGAGGACGACGUCAAGUCAUCAUGCCCCUUAUAUCCAGGGCUGCACGCAUGCUACAAUGGUCGGUACAACGGGCAGCGACCCCGCGAGGGUGAGCGAAUCCCACAAAGCCGGCCUCAGUUCGGAUUGGAGUCUGCAACUCGACUCC
rnacentral:rRNA from 1 species